UCUGUGUGACCUCACCCUAGCCAUUAUCAU
rnacentral:piRNA from 1 species